GGGGAUGUAGCUCAGUGAUAGGACAUUUGUCUAUCAUGCAAGAGGCCUUGGGUUCAACCCUAGUAUCACCA
rnacentral:tRNA from 1 species